rnacentral:rRNA from 1 species
CCUACGGGAGGCAGCAGUGGGGGAUAUUGCACAAUGGGGGGAACCCUGAUGCAGCGACGCCGCGUGGGUGAAGAAGGGCCUCGGCGCGUAAAGCCCUGUCAGCAGGGAAGAAAAUGACGGUACCUGAAGAAGAAGCCCCGGCUAACUACGUGCCAGCAGCCGCGGGAAUACGUAGGGGGCAAGCGUUAUCCGGAUUUACUGGGUGUAAAGGGGGCGCAGACGGCGAUGCAAGUCAGGAGUGAAAGCCCGGGGCCCAACCCCGGGACUGCUCGUGGAACUGCGUGGCUGGAGUGCAGGAGGGGCAGGCGGAAUUCCUGGUGUAGCGGUGAAAUGCGUAGAUAUCAGGAGGAACACCGGUGGCGAAGGCGGCCUGCUGGACUGCAACUGACGUUGAGGCCCGAAAGCGUGGGGAGCAAACAGGAUUAGAUACCCUGGUAGUC